AAUCUUGCGCAAUGGGCGAAAGCCUGCCGCAGCCAUGCCGCGUGAAUGAUGAAGGUCUUCGGAUUGUGAAAUUCUUUCACCGGGGACGAUAAUGACGGUACCCGUAGAAGACGCCCUGGCUAACUUCGUUCCAGCAGCCGCGGUAAUACGAAGGGGGCUAGCGUUGCUCGGAAUUACUGGGCGUAAAGGGCGCGUAGGCGGACAUUUAAGUCAGGGGUGAAAUCCCAGAGCUCAACUCUGGAACUGCCUUUGAUACUGGGUGUCUUGAGGGUGAGAGAGGUAUGCGGAACUCCGAGUGUAGAGGUGAAAUUCGUAGAUAUUCGGAAGAACACCAGUGGCGAAGGCGACAUACUGGCUCAUUACUGACGCUGAGGCGCGAAAGCGUGGGGAGCAAAC
rnacentral:rRNA from 1 species